CGUGAACAACAUGCCCUUGAGUGGGGGAUAGCCCGCCGAAAGGUGGAUUAAUACCCCAUGGUACCUUCGGGUUAAAGGUGGCUUCGGCUGCCGCUUAAGGAUUGGUUCGCGCCCUAUCAGCUUGUUGGUGAGGUAAUAGCUCACCAAGGCUACGACGGGUACCUGGUUUGAGAGGACGAUCAGGCACACUGGAACUGAGACACGGUCCAGACACCUACGGGUGGCAGCAGUCGAGAAUAAUUCACAAUGGACGAAAGUCUGAUGGUGCAACGCCGCGUGGAGGAUGACGGUCCUAGGACUGUAAACUCCUGUCAUCAGGGAGUAAGACCUGGAGGUUAAUAGCCUACAGGGUUGAUAGUACCUGAAGAGGAAGGGACGGCUAAUUCCGUGCCAGCAGCCGCGGUAAUACGGGAGUGGCAAGCGUUAUCCGGAAUUAUUGGGCGUAAAGCGUCCGCAGGCGGCCUUGUAAGUCUGUUGUUAAAGCGUGGAGCUUAACUCCAUUUAAGCAAUGGAAACUGCAAGGCUUGAGUGUGGUAGGGGCA
rnacentral:rRNA from 1 species